rnacentral:misc_RNA from 1 species
CCUUGAUAUUUUUCUCCAUUUUCCAUGCCGCUCAAGUUAUUACCACAGCUUCGUUUCUUCAAUCCAACAUUCCCACUUACCCAUUUUCCCACCAUGAAAUGCAAUUCAACUUUGAAGCCUAAAACAAUACCAGCUUUUUCUAGAAUGUUUCCACACAAGCUAAAGUAUAGGUCAAUUGCGUUUCCAAUUUUAGCAGCUCAAGAACAAGAGCUUCGUAGGUUCUCGAGCCGUUCAGGGAGACCAAGACCCGGGUCGGGUGCUGACGUGCGAGUUUCGAAGAGCUUGAUUGAAGAUGAAGCUGAACUCAGUGAUUGGGUGAGUGGGUUGAGGUCUGAUUCUUCGUUCACGAAAACUCAGGUGUAUAGUGAGAGUGAUGAUAAUGAGGGCGACAGGGAAAGG